rnacentral:rRNA from 1 species
CAGGCUCGAACGGCAUCUGACAUCCUACGAAAGUAGGCUCCCGCAAGGGCAGGUGUCGAGGUGCUGCAUGGCUGUCGUCAGCUCGUGUCGUGAGAUGUUGGGUUAAGUCCCGCAACGAGCGCAACCCUUGUCUUCUGUUGCCAUCGGGUUAUGCCGGGCACUCUGAAGAGACUGCCGGUGACAAACCGGAGGAAGGUGGGGAUGACGUCAAGUCAGCAUGGCCUUUA